GUCUGUCUUCUAUUAAUUCUGCAUAUUGUUGUGGUUUUGAUCACUGAAAUGGCUGUGACUUUUGGACUCUCUUUGAGUGUUUCUUGGAUUUGUUGCCUGCUAAUUGGAGGGAUAAUGUGUUUUACCCUUCAAGAUAAUGCUUAUGGGCAUCCUGCCUACACUGAACCAGAAUCAACUGGAUCCCAAGCAAGUGUGGUGUCUGGUCCAAAUGCUAAAGCUAAUGGCCGCAAUACCCCAGCUAGUGUGACGUUGUGUCGAAAUGCCUCAGCAGAAGCGGCCGGCCCCGCGCCUCAGCAGAAGCU